CGCAUAUUGCGCCCUUUGGUAUUCCGAGGGGCAUGCCUGUUCGAGCGUCAUUUCAAACCAUCAAGCCCCAAGCUUGGCCUUGAGCGAAGACAAAAAACGCCCCCGUAGCGGGCGCGCUCCAAAGUUUGUCGGCGGCGGUGCCGUGCCACGGGCGUAGCAAGAACCCAAAGUUCCACGCCCCGCUGGCUGCGGCGGCCGCCAGCCCCCAAAAACCAAAAAAACCCCCAAAGAUUGACCUCGGAUCAGGUAGGGAUACCCGCUGAACUUAA
rnacentral:misc_RNA from 1 species